rnacentral:rRNA from 1 species
AUUGAACGCUGGCGGCAUGCCUUACACAUGCAAGUCGAACGGCAGCACGGGAGCAAUCCUGGUGGCGAGUGGCGAACGGGUGAGUAAAGUAUCGGAACGUGCCCAGUCGUGGGGGAUAACGUAGCGAAAGUUACGCUAAUACCGCAUACGAUCUAUGGAUGAAAGCGGGGGAUCGCAAGACCUCGCGCGAUUGGAGCGGCCGAUAUCAGAUUAGGUAGUUGGUGGGGUAAAGGCUCACCAAGCCGACGAUCUGUAGCUGGUCUGAGAGGACGACCAGCCGCACUGGGACUGAGACACGGCCCAGACUCCUACGGGAGGCAGCAGUGGGGAAUUUUGGACAAUGGGCGCAAGCCUGAUCCAGCCAUGCCGCGUGCAGGAUGAAGGCCUUCGGGUUGUAAACUGCUUUUGUACGGAACGAAAAGGUUUGACUUAAUACGUUGGACUCAUGACGGUACCGUAAGAAUAAGCACCGGCUAACUACGUGCCAGCCGCCGCGGUAA